AUGCCACUGCCGCCGCGGUUGUUCGUGGACGGGAGGUACAUCGGCAUCGCCGAAGAGGUGGUGCCGCUUCACAUGCAGUCGUGGCUCUUGCCGAUGCUUCGCCACACGGGCAAGGCAGCCUGCGCUGUGUGCGGCAGCGCCUGGUUCAUUGUGCGCGGCAGCGGAUUGUGUCGUGUGCGGCGGCCCAAGCUGCUUCCCAUCCUGACCUACCCGGGGCCGUCGACUCCAAGUACGGCGACUCGCUCAGGGUCACGCUCCAGUCUUCCUGAUUCAAUCUACACCAUGUAUGCAAUGGUUAACGAUGAUAUGUUCCGCUCAGCAUUCAAACAGACCCGCAAGAAGAAACGUAUUCGCAACAGAGCCUCCCAAGAACGACUGACUACGUUGAGUGACAGAUUUACCGACGAUCAGAAGGAAGCUGCUGCUGAGAUGGGUAUGCAGGCUCUGAUGAAUGUCCGGUGCACAAAUCUUGUCAACCCUGUAUGCGACUGGCUUGGUGAGAUUUACGACCUCGCCUCCAGGGAGUUUGUGAUUCUGGGACGUGGAAGACUACAGUUGAACGAGGAAUCCAUGUUCUGCACUUUGGGUGUGCCUCGUGGGCAGAUGAAAGUCCCGUUCGAGGUCAAUAACAAUAUCGAGGAAGCGUUGUUCCCCCAUUUGUUUCCUGGGUUGGAAUCCAUGCCGAACACGUCUGUACUGGCAAAACUGAAAGAUGUGAAGAACAUGAAUUGUUGUAAGUUCAUAGCCGACUUCCUGCACGAUGCAUUCUCAAGCAAGAUGUACCAAAAGGGUUGUCGACUGCAUUUAAUGCUCAUCUACGUCGACUGUCUUGAUCUGUCCACCAUGGAUUUCACUGGGAUAGGAGGCCUGCCGCCUACGCACAAGUUUGCUGUUUGGGCGUGGACUAUCAACGCUGUCAAGGCUGUGCUUGCCGCAGACAGGGUAACUGACACCAAAUAUGGAAAACUGCAGCUGAUGGCCAAGCAUGCUAUAGACUACAGCGUGUUUGGGGGGCCUCAAAACUUUGGAAAGUGGAUGGACGUGCACUCAGCUCCGUCUUGCCCUAAUGAAGCGAGGGCACCUGUUGAGCAUCUAAUUGGGCAGUUUGCAUCUGGAAUGACCAGCUUGCUCGGGAAGUUGGUUGAGGGGUGGACAUCUCUUAGUGGCUCUGACAGUGAUGCGGUUGCGAGGCAGUUCACUUCGUUUGUCCUAGAACGGACACAUCGUCCAACUGGUUGCCGUGGCCGGUAUGACUACAAUAGUUCCCAAGAGCUUGCUGACACACAAGAUGAACUAGAUGGAGACGCUGGUAUCAGCAAGGAUGAGGACGAUGACAUGGAGAACGCGGAAGAGGAAACCGAUGAUGAUGAACAUGCUGAAGUUCGUGCAGGUGCUAACAAGGGGAAGGAUGCACCAUAUGUCCCCCCACCGGAGAAAGUCAAAGAACAUACGGCUGCGAGAGGCGAGGGGGUGUUGCCAUCAAAGAGGGGGAGGGCUCUAGAGGAUGUUGGGCAGGGUUCUCCUGGCAAGAGGGUGAAGAAGACUUCUACACGCGGGGCCAAGCAUAUCAGCAAGGACCCACUCGAACGCCUUCAUUUAAAGUUGUCAACAGGGGGCAACUCAGAUGUCCAUGAGGCCCCAGUCGACAAAACUGCUGCUGCACCGUCAACUGUUCCCACUAACUCUGACGCAAGUGGCCGACCAUCUCCGCCUGCUGCAGAUGUGCAGGCUAGAACAACGGGCAUCCAUACAUCAGGGAGUGACGAGUCGAUAUCUGCUAGGACCGCUGAAAUAUUGCCCACUCUGCUGGCAAUGAAGGAUGCUGCUGUGAGCCACGCCACCCCAUCAGGAAGUGUUGAAGUGGAUGCCCCCGAGACCAACCUAAGCAAGGAAGAUUCCCGCUCAUCUGGCACUGAUUCCAAGCGUGUGCGUGGUGGCAUUCAUGUGCCCACGACAGAAGUUGCUGAGGCGGCAGUUCAUAAUGAUAUGCCAUCUGCAGAAGACCAGAGUACAACUGAUGCAGGUGCCAAGCCGGGCAUGAGUGAUGAAGGUGAACGUCCAGAGAAGAUUGUGCCUUUACCCGCAGUGGAAAUCCCCAGCUUAAAUCUGCGCACUUCCAAACUCCCAAUCAACAUCGGUGUCCCCUACAGCCCCAACAAGAGGAUUGUCAACAAAUCUACGCCUGUCACCACUGACAGCACGCCCCGCCCUAUUGGCAAGCCUGAUAAUUCUACAGCGGCUGAUCCAGAAGACCUGUUUGUUGAUCUUUCACCGUUGGAUUCUGCCCCACAAAUUGUUCGUGGUCCGACCAGUAGGCAUGAGAGGCACCCAAUGGCCUUCACCCCACCGAGCUUCAGCCUUGGCGUCAGUCAAGAUCAACUAGUGGCUCAAGAUCCUAUGCCAGUUGCCUUUGCUUUUCCUGGAGGCGUGCCCGCAAUGAUGGCGCAGCCAAUGGUUGAGGGCAGGAAGGCUGUCAAGUUCACAGAGCCGAUCGUCCAAGCCACCCCUGAGGAGAUUUCACCGUCACUUGAUGAAGCUUACCGCAGGAUCGAGGAGGCAGCAUUGCAGAGGAGGUCCUCACGAGGGCAGGGGCAAUCAAGUUCCAACGUGCCUGCAAAUACGGUAUCUGAGGAUACCAUUAGGAGUGCCACCCCUGGUUCUGUGAGGCUGCAGAGGGUAGUUCACCCACCUCCCGCGGAAGACUACGAGCCCGAAUUCGGGGCCACAAAGGAACAGACCCAGCUCUACGAUAUUGUCAAGCGGUUUGGAAAUGCGAGGGCCAGCAACAAGCACAUGAAGGAGCUGAAAGCGUAA
rnacentral:rRNA from 1 species